CUCGAAGUACACUUCAAACCACUGUAGAUCGAGAAAUUUGUUAUCAACGUGGAUGUUUCAUUAUUUGUUAGAUUGAUUUCUAAGCUCCACGUAUAAUUCUUAUGUCCAUGUGAUGUGUCAAUUUAAUGUGGUUUCCUUUGCUGCUGUUCUGUGCUUCACCGCCUGCCACCUCUGUUGUAACAAUUAAUUUUGUUUGUCAUGUAGUAAUAAAGAUGUACAGUACUCAAAUUGCUGCUGCUUUUUCCCCAAGUUUCUUUGCUCAUAUCCUUCUAUAAAUACCACCGGUUGGCAAAGUGUUUCUUUCACACCAAAUUUGGUUGCCAGGAAUUUGUUGCGGGGUACAAAUUGUAGGAACCUGAUGUAUCCACAUAGCAUCUUCUUCCCUAUACAUAAGAGAAGAUAUAUAGAACAUAAGAUAACAAUACUAAAAUUUUCAAUUUAUGUUUUAGGAAAUGAAGUAGAAGUGAAAUGAAGCACAAAAUUUGGUAGAAGCAAUCAAAAGAAGCAAACAGUAGAAGUGAAAGCCACAAAAGAAGCAAUCUAAAGAGUUUUGAAAUUUGGUAUUGAAGACAAGAAGGAAAUGAAGCACAAAAUUAUCAAAUAACGAGGUAAUAUAAUAUAUACUUUGGUUUGUUUUCUAAGAAAUUAAAGAUGCUAUUCAAAUAUUUGAUUGACUCAACAUUAGUAAUUUCUUUACUUUUUAUCUUUUGGCAAUAGAUAAUGGAGUUAUUAUUCAUAUGAAUUAUAAGGAAUUUAUGCAAGGAAAAAUUAAUGUUAAUAGAUUAACAUGUCAUACAAGUGUAAUUUUUUGGUAUUGAGAUUUAUUUGUAUUGACUAAUUCUGACAAACUAACAAAGAAAAUGUAUUUUUAUUGAAAUAAGGUGAAAGCUCCCACCAUAUCCAGAUGUAGCGGUACAGAAGGACCAGAGCGCUGCAUGCAUGUUUAAUUACAAUUUAAGUAUUAAUGUAUUUGUAUUGAUACAAAUUAUUAUUGUUUCAUUCAACAUGUAAUGUCUUCCUUCCAGACAAGAUCUCUAAACAGGGGAUACAAAAUGUCAUAUUAAAUAAUAUUUAAUUCAAUAAAAAUUGUAAUUGUGAGUGAUUUUUCUUCCCAAUAUUUAUUUUAUAACAUCAUUGGGCAUUACCAUUUUAUAUUGAUGAUAAAGAUCACAAGAAAACAUAAAACUAACCAACCA
rnacentral:lncRNA from 1 species